rnacentral:rRNA from 1 species
AGCAGCCGCGGUAAUUCCAGCUCCAAUAGCGUAUAUUAAAGUUGUUGCAGUUAAAAAGCUCGUAGUUGAAUUUCGGGACCAAUUUGUUGGUCGUGCCUCGGUACGUACUGAUAUUAUUGGUUUCUCCCUUCUGAAGAACCAUGAUGCCAUUAAUUUGGUGUCGUGGGGAAUCAGGACUGUUACUUUGAAAAAAUUAGAGUGUUUAAAGCAGGCUUUCGCUUGAAUACAUUAGCAUGGAAUAAUGAAAUAGGACGUUUGAUUCUAUUUUGUUGGUUUCUAGGAUCGACGUAAUGAUUAAUAGGGAUAGUUGGGGGCAUUAGUAUUCAAUUGUCAGAGGUGAAAUUCUUGGAUUUAUUGAAGACUAACUACUGCGAAAGCAUUUGCCAAGGAUGUUUUCAUUAAUCAAGAACGAAAGUUAGGGGAUCGAAGACGAUCAGAUACCGUCGUAGUCUUAACCAUAAACUAUGCCGACUAGGGAUCGGAUGAUGUUAAUUUUUAAUGUACUCAUUCGGCGCCUUAC